rnacentral:tRNA from 3 species
GAAGUGUUAGUAAAACAAUUACAUAGCCUUGUCAAGGCUAAAUUACGAGUGAAACCCUCGUACACCUCA